AGUCUUUGGGGCAAGGUGAAAUUCCUUACCGGUGGUUAUAGUCCACUAACAACGUUUUUGCGUUGCCGAGCGGGUGAAAUUCCUGCGCCGACGGUAUAGUCCGGAUGAAAAAAGAU
rnacentral:ncRNA from 1 species